UCCAGGACUAUGUGUGAGGCGAAGUGCACCGUUGACAUUAGCGCUGAGAAAGACGGGUUUAGUGGUUUGGGUUUUUUGCUACCAUGUCGCCUCCUGCUCCCAUUGCUGUCAUUGCAACACAUUCUGUUAGAAUAGCUACCUUCAGCCCUCACGACACUUCAGAAGUUAUUGGCGUGUCCAACUAAAGUUCAAAAUGCCCCCAGACAAAAAACGUUAUUAAGCUGGAGUUAAGACUGAAAGUACAUAUCCGUGACCUGACUGAAAAAUGCCUUUGAACAUUAAGAAGCAAGCAGCCUUCCGUUUGCCGUUUUUUGUGAUGAAGUACUGAAAAUGUGUUUUUGAAAACACAGGCUUUACAACUGGAUUCAUGCACACGUUUCCAGUACUAAGUGUGACGUAGUUCAUGCAAACCUUCACAUUCAUUAAGAUUUUUUGUGUCUUGAAAUCUACUUCAACUAUAUCAUUGGCAUCAAGUAUUGCAACUCCAAUACCAGCCCUGCUUCCUAACCAGAGAUUGGCAGGGAAUGAGGCUCAGACCAUUCAAUAAACAACACUUUCCAGAAGGAAUCGCAGCUGCUUCCAACUUGCGAUAGCAGGAUGGCCUCUGGGUGACCCCGGAUUAGUGUAAAUAUUUUGCUUUUAUUGGAAGGAAAUGUGACAUACAUUUGGGAUGGAAGUUAUCCAGAGACUGCAGACUUGGGAGCCAAGCCUCUGGGAAGCACACGCAGCGGUGGUCUCAAGGGUAUUUCAGCACUUCCCAGACAACAAGACUGUUCAUAAAGUUCGUGUGUAUCUAAUUUCAAAUUGAAUGUCAGUGGUUCAGCCCCCUGUCAAGGCCUAAAAAGAAACAGACCUGUUUACAGGACAACAGUCUUCAUGCACUAAAGCCAGGGCUUAACAAAAUGUGCAGUGAUGCACGGACAAGCUGUGAAACCGUGGAGACGUGCAUUGACUUUUUAGGAGUAUAUGCAAUGAAAGUUAAACAACCCCUGACGUUCUUGGUCUUGCUGCCUAGAAUCAGCGCUUCAUUUUCUAUUACGUGCAGCGACAGUCUAAACAGUUUUGUAGGCAGCCACUGACUGCAUCAUACUGAAUCCUUAUGGCAGCCCUUAGAAAUGAAUUUCUGUCAAAGGAAUUAACCCAUUCUCAACCUCCAGAGCACUGCCAGGUGAAAUGCAACAGGAAAGUGAGGCAAUAAAACAACUGCUCUGAGAAAUGGACAUUUUCAUCAGUGAAGACAUGUUAAAAAAGUAAAUGCCCUGUGUGGGGAGGAUUUGGUCUGUCAUCCACAACCCAGGUCUCACAGAACUCUCCUACAUAGGUGGUUUACUUGGGCUGUUUUAUGGGGCCAGGAUUUGGCCAAUGGAAUAUAUAGAGAUGGGCAUGCACUGAGCAAUACUUAAUACACAUUUAAUACAAAUUUGCAUCUUGACAGGGGGUUAGACUAGACUCUUGUGGUCCCUUCUAACCCUGUGAGUCUAUGAUUCUACCUGAUAAGGUAAGAACUAGUAAGCUGUUAGGAUCAACCCACAUGUCUACCAAACCGAACCAAGAAAUUGUGGCCAUGCUAUUUUGGGCUGUGCUCUCGUCUUAGCUCUUAUAAAUUAAACCAAGUUAGGCCUAGGCAACACUCAGGUGGGAAACUACAAAAGAAAACCCAGCUUGUUGUCAUGGCGGUAAGUGAUUCAGCUGCUGCCAUUCUUCCCUCUGGGUUAGUACUAAGCCAGUAGCCCAGCAUGGUUCUAGGGGCUGCUGUGCUAAUGCAGGUGCCAUGUUCUGUGCAUCUCAGGUCCUGAACACUAAUGAUCUUUAAAGAUCACUUGGCACUUUUUACAAGACUAGGUGCAUUAGUCCCAUUAUCACAAAUGUCUUGGUCAAAUUCAAACUUGUUUAAUUACAGUUCGACAACUUAAAUUUUCCUUGAAAUGUCAAUUGUAUGUAACAGUCUUCUUCUCUUUUAUCUUCUCUCUCUAUAUCAGGUAUUUCUGAGGUGUCUAUAGUUGUAGUAGCUAAGCACCUCUCCUAAACUGUUACAUAGCAUUGAUUUCAAUUGUUAGCUUUAAAAUAUAUAUUCAAAUUCAAAAUGGAUAAAAGGAAAUACUUUUUCACAUGAUGAAUAUUUAGACUGCAGAACUCAUUGCCACAUGAAAUUGUUGAAGCCAAAAUUUUAGUAGGAUUCAGAAAAGGGCUGGACAUAUAUUGGAUAUUAAGAAUAUCCAGACUUAUCAUAAGUACUGAUAGAACUUUGGAAAGGAUAUUAAACCUCAUUCUUCAGGGAUUAAGCCAGUCUCUAAAUACUAGAGACCAGGAUGAGAUCUAAUAUGUAGGGCAGAUUAUCCCACAUCUGUCUACUGCAGAGUUCUUACACCUUCCUCUGAAGCACCUAGUGCUGACCACUGUCAGAGACAGGAUACUGAACUAGACAGACCUGGUAAGGCAAUUCCUGUGUUCCUGUGCCACAUUCCAUCCCAGAGGUGGCUGCACUUCAGUGGUCAGUGAACUGAUUCUUAUAUGCAAACAGCUCAGUGAGAAAAGCGCUAAGUUAAUUAUCCCAUGGACUGUAACAAAAUUAUAAAGCCAUGAAGGCAUUAUAGCUACUGAAAUCAACUUCUGAUGUUGGACCCCGUGGAAAGGACUUACAGCCACCACAGAUACAAUUAGUUAGUUCAUUACCUCAGUGAGAAAAACAGCUGAUGGGAAGUUAGUAGCCCACUCCAACCCUGUGUUUAAGGAGGUUAAUUUAAUUCUGUUGGGCUUCUUUUGUGUUGCAGAGCAGUUGGACAAUAACCCACUUUCUCAACAGCCACAGGUAUAUGGGGCCUUAUUUUACAUACGCUGGUUUUACUCUGAUGUAACUCCAUUGACUUUAAUGCAGUUACUCCUGGUUUACAUUACUGUGAGAGGAGAAUAAGGCCCAGGAUACCUAAGGGACACAUCCCACUAGCCAAAGGAGUUGUGAUUUUGUCAGACAAUGAAAGAACAAAAGGAUUUUAAUUAUUUGGGGAGGAAUUAUAACACAAACAGUGUAGUUGCUGUGUCCGUCUCAGGAUCUUAGAGAGACAAGAUGGGUGAGGUAAUAUCUUUUAUUGGACCGACUUCUGUUGGUGAGAGAGACAAGCUUUUGAGCUCUGUGUGGCUCAAAAGCGUGGCUCUCUUACCAACAGAAGUUGUUCCACUAAAAGAUAAGACCUCACCCACCUUGUCUCACAAAGAGAAACUGCAGUCUGCUGGGGGAUGCAAGGACAGACAGAGCUAUUUCCCUGCAGUACUGAAAAAGUAGUGCUACUUCUGAGUAAACUUUGCUGCUGUUCUUUUAUUUUUAUCCAACCUUGAUCAAAUCAAUGACAGCAACGAUUGGCAUGUGCAUUUUGUACAUUAAAAAUAGACUAGCAAAGAUUGUCCUGAGUCUGUGUCCAUUUAGUUCUCUUGCAACAAAGCAAUAACCUCACUCCUGGGGUCCAAAUAUGCCCUGACCACUUAAAAGCUAGGAGGAUGUUUAU